UUUCCGGUUGAUCCCGCCGGACCCGACUGCUAUCAGAGUGGGACUAAGCCAUGCGAGUCAACGCAGCAAUGCGUGGCACACGGCUCAGUAACACGUAGUCAACAUGCCCAGGGGACGUGGAUAACCUCGGGAAACUGAGGAUAAACCGCGAUAGGCCAAGGUUUCUGGAAUGGACACUGGCUGAAACCUACAUGGCCCCUGGAUUGGACUGCGGCCGAUCAGGCUGUUGGUGAGGUAAUGGCCCACCAAACCUGUAACCGGUACGGGCUUUGAGAGAAGGAGCCCGGAGAUGGGCACUGAGACAAGGGCCCAGGCCCUAUGGGGCGCAGCAGGCGCGAAAAUUCUGCAAUAGGCGAAAGCUUGACAGAGUUACUCUGAGUGAUGCCCGCUAAGGGCAUCUUUUGGCACCUCUAAAAAUGGUGCAGAAUAAGGGGUGGGCAAGUCUGGUGUCAGCCGCCGCGGUAAUACCAGCACCCCGAGUGGUCGGGACGAUUAUUGGGCCUAAAGCAUCCGUAGCUUGUUCUGCAAGUCUUCCGUUAAAUCCACCUGCUCAACAGAUGGGCUGCGGGAGAUACUACAGGGCUAGGAGGCGGGAGAGGCA
rnacentral:rRNA from 1 species